GAACACAGCAAUAUUUAAAAAAUGUUUUAUAGCUACCGAGAAGAAAUAGCAUGGCCCCUGUGCAAGGAUGACCUGCAAAUUCGUGAAGCGUUCCAUAUUUUU